rnacentral:rRNA from 1 species
AGUGAACGCUGGCGGUAGGCCUAACACAUGCAAGUCGAACGGCAGCACAGUAAGAGCUUGCUCUUACGGGUGGCGGGUGGCGGACGGGUGAGGAAUACAUCGGAAUCUACUUUUUCGUGGGGGAUAACGUAGAGAAACUUACGCUAAUACCGCAUACGACCUACGGGUGAAAGCAGGGGAUCUUCGGACCUUGCGCGAUUGAAUGAGCCGAUGUCGGAUUAGCUAGUUGGCGGGGUAAAGGCCCACCAAGGCGACGAUCCGUAGCUGGUCUGAGAGGAUGAUCAGCCACACUGGAACUGAGACACGGUCCAGACUCCUACGGGAGGCAGCAGUGGGGAAUAUUGGACAAUGGGCGCAAGCCUGAUCCAGCCAUACCGCGUGGGUGAAGAAGGCCUUCGGGUUGUAAAGCCCUUUUGUUGGGAAAGAAAAGCAGCAGGUUAAUACCCCGCUGUUCUGACGGUACCCAAAGAAUAAGCACCGGCUAACUUCGUG